GACGAACGCUGGCGGCGUGCUUAACACAUGCAAGUCGAACGAAGCUUGAUUACGUAUUCUUCGGUUGAGGUAUGAUAUGACUGAGUGGCGGACGGGUGAGUAACGCGUGAGUAACCUGCCCUUCAGAGGGGGAUAGCGUUUGGAAACGAACGGUAAUACCGCAUAAUGUAUUUUGACCGCAUGAUCGAAAUACCAAAGAUUUAUCGCUGAAGGAUGGACUCGCGUCUGAUUAGGUAGUUGGUGGGGUAACGGCCUACCAAGCCGACGAUCAGUAGCCGGACUGAGAGGAUGAUCGGCCACAUUGGGAGUGAGACACGGCUCAGACACCUACGGGAGGCAGCAGUGGGGAAUAUUGCACAAUGGGCGCAAGCCUGAUGCAGCAACGCCGCGUGAAGGAAGACGGUUUUCGGAUUGUAAACUUCUGUUCUUAGUGAAGAAUAAUGACGGUAGCUAAGGAGCAAGCCACGGCUAACUACGUG
rnacentral:rRNA from 1 species